rnacentral:rRNA from 1 species
GCGACUAAGCGUACACGGUGGAUGCCCUGGCAGUCAGAGGCGAUGAAGGACGUGCUAAUCUGCGAUAAGCGCCGGUAAGGUGAUAUGAACCGUUAUAACCGGCGAUUUCCGAAUGGGGAAACCCAGUGUGAUUCGUCACACUAUCAUUAACUGAAUCCAUAGGUUAAUGAGGCGAACCGGGGGAACUGAAACAUCUAAGUACCCCGAGGAAAAGAAAUCAACCGAGAUUCCCCCAGUAGCGGCGAGCGAACGGGGAGGAGCCCAGAGCCUGAAUCAGCAUGUGUGUUAGUGGAAGCGUCUGGAAAGGCGCGCGAUACAGGGUGACAGCCCCGUACACAAAAGCGCAUGUGCUGUGAGCUCGAUGAGUAGGGCGGGACACGUGGUAUCCUGUCUGAAUAUGGGGGGACCAUCCUCCAAGGCUAAAUACUCCUGACUGACCGAUAGUGAACCAGUACCGUGAGGGAAAGGCGAAAAGAACCCCGGCGAGGGGAGUGAAAAAGAACCUGAAACCGUGUACGUACAAGCAGUGGGAGCACAGGUUUACCUGUGUGACUGCGUACCUUUUGUAUAAUGGGUCAGCGACUUAUAUUCUGUAGCAAG